ACAAUUUCGUGUGCUCUGAUGCUCUUCAUCAUCAUCAGCCUGACUACGACCACGGCAGAGCAAAGGCUUCUCUCAUGUUCCACCAAUCAACCCGGUCCUGUUCUUUCUGCUGCCACGCUAUACCUGGAAAC
rnacentral:lncRNA from 1 species